rnacentral:rRNA from 1 species
UGUGAAUUAGCGGCGAACGGGUGAGGAACACGUGAAGAAUCUGCCUUCAACUCUGGGAUAACUCCGGGAAACCGGGGCUAAUACCGGAUAUGAGAACCGCAGGCAUCUGUGGCUCUGGAAAGUUUUUCGGUUGAAGAUGACUUCGCGGCCUAUCAGCUUGUUGGUGAGGUAAUGGCUCACCAAGGCGACGACGGGUAGCCGGCCUGAGAGGGCGACCGGCCACACUGGGACUGAGACACGGCCCAGACUCC